GCUGAUAUGGCUCGGUUGGUAGAGCGCACCCUUGUUAAGGGUGAGGUCGGUAGUACGAAUAUGCCUACCAACACCA
rnacentral:tRNA from 3 species